UACAGAGACUGCAAGCGUUAUUCGGAUUCACUGGGCGUAAAGGGUGCGCAGGCGGUUGGGUGUGUCAGAUGUGAAAUCCCGAGGCUUAACCUCGGAACUGCGUCUGAAACUACUCGACUAGAGUAUUGGAGAGGGUAACGGAACUCACGGUGUAGCAGUGAAAUGCGUAGAUAUCGUGAGGAACACCAGAGGCGAAGGCGGUUACCUGGACAAUUACUGACGCUCAGGCACGAAAGCAUGGGGAGCAAAAGGG
rnacentral:rRNA from 1 species